AACGAACGCUGUCGGCAUGCCUAACACAUGCAAGUCGAACGAAGCCUUCGGGCUUAGUGGCGCACGGGUGCGUAACGCGUGGGAAUCUGCCCUUGGGUUCGGAAUAACAGUUAGAAAUGACUGCUAAUACCGGAUGAUGUCUUCGGACCAAAGAUUUAUCGCCCAAGGAUGAGCCCGCGUAGGAUUAGGUAGUUGGUGGGGUGAUGGCCCACCAAGCCGACGAUCCUUAGCUGGUCUGAGAGGAUGAUCAGCCACACUGGGACUGAGACACGGCCCAGACUCCUACGGGAGGCAGCAGUGGGGAAUAUUGGACAAUGGGCGAAAGCCUGAUCCAGCAAUGCCGCGUGAGUGAUGAAGGCCCUCGGGUUGUAAAGCUCUUUUACCAGGGAUGAUAAUGACAGUACCUGGAGAAUAAGCUCCGGCUAACUCCGUGCCAGCAGCCGCCGUAA
rnacentral:rRNA from 1 species